GAUUAACGCUGGCGGCGUGCAUAACACAUGCAAGUCGAACGAUGAAACUUAGUAGACUUCUUCGGAAAGACACUAAGCGGAUUAGUGGCGAACGGGUGAGUAACGCGUGAGUAACCUGCCUUACACAAGGGGAUAGCCUUUGGAAACGAAGAAUAAUACCCUAUAAAACCAUAAAAGCACAUGCUAGAAUGGUCAAAGUGAUAGCGGUGUAAGAUGGACUUGCGUCUGAUUAGCUAGUUGGUGAGAUAAAAGCUCACCAAGGCAACGAUCAGUAGCCGGCCUGAGAGAGUGUACGGCCACAUUGGGACUGAGACACGGCCCAGACUCCUACGGGAGGCAGCAGUGGGGAAUUUUGCACAAUGGGGGAAACCCUGAUGCAGCGACGCCGCGUGAUUUAGAAGGCCUUCGGGUUGUAAAAAAUCUUUUGUAUAGGAAGAAAAUGACAGUACUAUACGAAUAAGGUCCGGCUAAUUACGUG
rnacentral:rRNA from 1 species